GUCAGAUUAGCUAGUUGGUGGGGUAAAGGCCCACCAAGGCGACGAUCUGUAGCGGGUCUGAGAGGAUGAUCCGCCACACUGGGACUGAGACACGGCCCAGACUCCUACGGGAGGCAGCAGUGGGGAAUUUUGGACAAUGGGCGCAAGCCUGAUCCAGCCAUGCCGCGUGCGGGACGAAGGCCUUCGGGCUGUAAACCGCUUUCAGCCGGAAAGAAAUUGCUGUUUUUAAUAGAGAUAGUGGAUGACGGUACCGGAAGAAGAAGCACCGGCUAACUACGUGCCAGCAGCCGCGGUAAUACGUAGGGUGCGGGCGUUAAUCGGAAUUACUGGGCGUAAAGGGUGCGCAGGCGGUUAUGUAAGUCAGAUGUGAAAUCCCCGGGCUUAACCUGGGAAUUGCGUUUGAAACUACAAGGCUAG
rnacentral:rRNA from 1 species